rnacentral:lncRNA from 1 species
CGUACACCUGGUGGUUCAGUUGGAAGAGCAUGUAUGGAGAGACUCCAACGUGCACUGAGAAGCUGUUGCAUGCAAAGAUCUGAAGCUAACGGGAUGCACAAGUUAUCUAGGAAGUUGUUAUACAUGCAUGUGUUAGUGGCAUAAGAAUAGGUCGUGGCUUAGUUGGUUAGUGGAGCAGGUCGUGUGCGCAAGAUCCGGGCAUGUUGACCGGGCACCGUGUGCGAGCUAGCUACUUAAAGCGUUGUAAUCCAGUUUAUUAACAAAGGUGAAAAGUGUGAAGAAAACUUGUGGCUGUGUGACACAGCGCAAGGCCAAAAAAUCCUUUGUAUCUCGUCUGAUCUGUGAGACGCAGUAGAGGGAGGGGGGUUUCAGGGAGUUGAGAGAAUCAGCUCCAACAUUCAAGAGAAGGCUGUGCCAACAUUUGGUAUCAGAGCAAGGUUGUCGAUGUCGCGUGACUCUUCAGCGAGUGAAGCGUUGGUGUCGAGGGACUCGGCGGAGACGGGGGUGGCCGCAACGGCGCUCGCGGCGACGGCGGCAGCGGGGAAGCUUCCAUUCCCGCUGCUAACAAGGACGAACUACGCGGCGUGGGCGAUGAGGAUGAAGUACCUCUUGCGAGCCAACGGCGCAUGGGCUGUUGUUGAUCGCGAGGCGUCGUCCAUGGAGGUCGACAAGGGCAAGGAGGAGAUGGCCAUGACGAUCAUCUCCCAGUCGAUCGACGACACGACGCUGCUGCGUGUAGCGGAGAAGGAGACCGCGGCUGAUGUGUGGGCGGCGCUACGCUCCAUGCACGUUGGCGUCGAGCGCAUCCGGGAGGCGAGGAUUCAGUCCUUGCGCUCGGAGUUUGAUGGACUCAAGAUGGGUGAUGCGGAGUCCGUGGAUGAUUUCGCGGCGAGUUUCACAACGCUCGUGGGACGCAUCCGUGAGCUUGGUGAUCCAUUGGAGGAGAAGUACGUCGUGAAGAAGCUGCUGCGAGCUGUCUCCAACAAGUUCAUCCACGUUGCAUCGUCAAUUGCGUUGUUCAACGGCACCAACAAGAUGGCCAUGGAGGAGGCCAUUGGUUCACUCAAGGCACAUGAGGAGCUCGUCAAUGGGCGGGAGAUAGGACAAGAAGAAGAGCAUCUCCUCAUAGCAAGAGGGCAUGGCUCAAUGCAAGGACGCGGCCGUGGUGGCCGUGGCCGUGGCCGCAGACAUGGCCGUGAUGGAGGGCGCAGAGACAAGAGCGAGGUACAGUGUUAUAACUGUGAUGACUUUGGUCACUUUGCUUGGGAGUGUCCGGCGAAGAAGAAGGAGAAUGAGGAGAAGGCGCUGUUGGCUGGCUACGCCAGCGACGGACCGGCCCUUCUUUGAAGUUUCUGGGUGAAGAAUGGGCAUCAAGAUUAGGAGGUUGAAUGUUAGAUAUAAUCUUGAUGUCUUGUGUAUCUGCAUGUUUACUUUUGUAUUUGCAUGUAGUAGUGUGUUUGUGCAGAGAUACGUGCGAGGCGUACACCUGGUGGUUCAGUUGGAAGAGCAUGUAUGGAGAGACUCCAACAUGCAGUGAGAAGCUGUUGCAUGCAAAGAUCUGAAGCUAACGGGAUGCACAAGUUAUCUAGGAAGUUGUUAUACAUGCAUGUGUUAGUGGCAUAAGAAUAGGUAGUGGCUUAGUUGGUUAGUGGAGCAGGUCGUGUGCGCAAGAUCCGGGCAUGUUGGCCGGGCACCGUGUGCGAGCUAGCUACUUAAAACGUUGUAAUCCAGUUUAUUAACAAAGGUGAAAAGUGUGAAGAAAACUUGUGGCUGUGUGACACAGCGCAAGGUCAAAAAAUCCUUUGUAUCUCGUCUGAUUUGUGAGACGCAGUAGAGGGAGGGGGGUUUCAGGGAGUUGAGAGAAUCAGCUCCAACAUUCAAGAGAAGGCUGUGCCAAC